UCUAUAAACUGGAAAACAGUUUUAAUUUUCAUCUCCUGUGAGUACAUAUAAUUAUAUUCUCUCUUUGUUGUUUAUCCUGAGGUUGAUCAUAUUCCAGUAGGGCUCAGGUCCAGAGAGCAUAACUGUAUGUUGAAAUGCAAAUUGCACAAUAACCAUUGUCAUAGAGACUUAAAUGGAAUAUUAUGAGAUUUGUUAUAAUCUUGUAUGGCUUUAGAGGAUACUUUAAACAAAAACAAACAAACAAAAAAAAAAUAGAAAAUAUGUCCACAUUUCACAAAAACCUCAGUCCUUUUCCAUUCUGGAUUGAACAAGAUUGUUUCUUUCCUAUUUACUUCUAUGCUUUCAGUGAAGGCAACCAGUGCUAAAUACAGUUAUUUGGGAGUAAGUAAUAACAUUUUAUUCCCAAUGCUAUCUGACUUAUGUUGCAUUUAAAUAAAUAUCUAAAUUUAAAUCAAGAUAAACCCUUAAGAAUAUAAUAAUUAGGAUCUCCUAAAACUGACGUGUGUGCUAUUGGCAGCUGCAAAUCUUUUCUUGCCCCACUCACACUGGCUGUCCAGGGUCCCUGGAUGCUGCUCUAGGUUUGGCUGUGCAUUCAUCAGCUCCUCAUCCCUGGCAGGAGCCUCUCUCUGCUGCCAGUCAGGAACUUUCACUCAGCCAUUCACCCUUAACCACACACUUAAAUCCAGAGCAGAUUUGUUGCUUGGGUUCCCUGUCCUGGUGUAGCUCAGUAACUAAUGAAGCAUGAUGCCGGUCAAGCUUUCAGGCAGGUUUAACAUUUAAAAAAAUUGUCAGUGGACUGGAAAGAAAGAGGGAAGGUAACUUUACAACAUCCUGUUGACCCAAAAUUGCAGAAGUCUGUUCUACCUUUCAAAGCUCAUGAGACAAUUUUUGACUGCUGUUUCUGCUCAAACAUAAAAUGAAUCCUAGAAGACUACUAAGUACAAGGAUUGCUUCAUACAUGGAAUCUGCCAUCCUCUUUUUCCUGUUACUUUAUUCCCUUUCCUGUGGGUUGAGUAAAAAAACCCUGAAGGAAAUUAUACCAUUCUAACCAAAAAGUAAUGUAUUAAGACAAUUUGCAUUUUUAUUAAAAAAGACAUAUUUUAUCUUUAAAAUACAACCAGUGAUGGACACGAGAGCAUAAUCUCUAGGAUAAUGACACACUUCAGUACACCAGGCAAUUAGGUUUGCCUUUAAUUAUUUAUAGUUUGACAUGCUGCUCAUACAAGUACUCUGUGUAACAGGAGGAAGUCAGUUUGACCUUAAUUAUUGCCUGUAAAUAAUUCCUGAGUUGUAACUAAGUAGUGCCUUUUAAAAUGUAAUUAUUGUAAUACCAGGGUUACAGAGCUCAUUGAUUUGUAAUUACUUAAUUGUUUCUGCCCAUUAAACCACAGCUGUGAUAGGUUCAUCACUAGCCUGGAAACAGGGGAGCUAUGGCCAAGAACUUGGACUAACCUUAUCUCCCACAGUUAAAUGGCUGAACAAUCAUUCCAGUCUGGCCAAGGUUAGUAGGGGUCAUCAGAUGGCUGAGAGAUCCCUGGGCAAUAAGCAGGGCACUUCAGUACACAUCCCUCAGAAAAACAGUGAGGGGAGAAGGAAAAACAAAAUAUCCAUAACUCCAGGGUCUUCAGCUCUCACCAAGUAAAUCAGCCAAAAAACUACUUCUAUGUGACUCUGAUUUUACACUUUUGGGAUCAUAAUUACAGUGAGCUAUUGGGCAUACUGCUAACUGUGCUGCUGGGAAACAGAAAACCCAAGCAUUAUGUCAUUUUUUUCUCCAACUAUCAACACAGGUUUAGUUGUUUGCACAUUUGUAUGGAAGGGAGAGACUGUCAUUUUGCUUCUUGUGACUUGCACUUUAACACUGGAAGAGCACAGAGAGAGUUCAGCCCACAGUGUUUGGAUUCAAAGCCAGCCAGCCACUAAACUCCACACAGCUGCUUGCGUCCCUGUGUUAUCAACAGUGUUUCCAGCACAAAUCCAAACACAGCCCUAUUUUAGGCUACUAUGAAGAAAAUUAACUCUAUCCCAGCCAAACCCAGCACACACACGAUGCUCCUGUCUUUAAUACAUUUGGUUCUUUGUGUACCACUGUCUGGUAAUCACCAUCCAAACCACUCUGUUGUAUUACAUGUGUUUCUCUGGCAGGAAAAAAAAAGAUAAUAAUGAAGCAUUUUAAAGUAGUCAGCAUGCGACACACUUUCCCUUAAAUUGUAAACCUGAUCCGCCAGAGGAGCAGAAAUGCCAACAUGUUUCUCAGAUGUCAGUUCUGGGAAAAUAAAGAUCCACACUCUACUGAGAAGAUCUAAUA